CAAACAUGGCGGUGCCGGCGAGCUUUUUCGUGUUGUUGGCGGCGAUCGCUCGGCGGCUCGGCAGCACCGUGGGCGCCGUGAGCGCCCGACGACGCGUUCGACAUGCCAGUCGAUGAAAGAGUUCGCCGUCACUUUCGCCCGAAGAAAGGAAGGUGCGGCGGUUGUGCGACGAAGUGGCCGAGGAAGGCGCGCGACGGCGCGACCGACUUCGCUCUCGGUGCAGCCUGUGGGUGUUGUGCGGCCUUCGGUUUUUCGCGAGUGGCAGCUUUCAAGCCUUGUUUGGAAGCGAGGAUACAUGCAAGCUGCGGUGAGCAGACUGUGUGCGAUGUUGUGGCGGAGGCAAUCGCGCACGCCGGGAUCCGUAACAAGUGGGUUCACUUCCCGUGGACGCCGGAUGAAAAGGCGGCCUUGAAUGUUUCCUACUGCUGCCGGCGUCAUAGGAUGCGUGGACGGCAGCGACGCAGCGUUGCCGUCAUCAUUGCACCGAAGGGUGACCAUCACAAGGCGGCAUUUUAUCCCCGCAGGGGACAUUAUGCCCACAUCGUCAUGCUAAUCUGCGACGCAGACAUCGGAAUCCUGCCGUGAACCACUGAGUUUGGGAUCAGACUACGACGCCCACGUCUGGCGGACAACGCGGCUGCGUGAGCGCAUCGAAGGGGCCCGGAUUGCCGCGGCCGUACCUUCUGGCUUCUAGGUGACAGAGGCUACAAACCAGGACCAUGGCUCCUGACACCUCUCCGAGGCUGUCCUCUCAGAAGCGGUGUUAAAAAGGCAAGUGCUACACCGCACAUGCUGCAAUGCAGUCUGUAAUGAAGCGUUGUGCUGGGCGUUUGAAGAGCUGCUUCCGCUGCGUUCAGCAGUGCAGUUGUACCCUCCAUUAAGAAUCAGAAUGUGCAUCUCACAUUGCUGCAGCAUGUGCAGUGUUGCACUUGCCUUUACAUUGCAGAAGGUGACAGAAAUGUUCAUGAUUUCAGCGAGCGACGAUUCCAAUAGUGAGCAUGGCAGUGUUGUCAGGGAUGACCCCGAACCACUGCUUAGACAAGGAAGGCCAUCACGCUCCUCAUGUAUUCCUGGACAAGCUGUCCGCAGUGGUAAUCCGCUAUUUGGCUAACUGCACCACUGACAACAGCGCUAGGCAAGUGUCAUUUCAGUGAGAAACAUGUGCCUAAGAAGUAACAAUAAUAUAUGUGGUUUUCCGUGCCAAAACCAUGAUACAAGUGUGAGCCACACUGCAGUGGAGGACUGAAUUUAUCUUGACCACCUGUGGCUCUUUAACGUGAAUCUCAAUGCAAGUACAGCAGUGAUCCUUCACGUUACCCUCAUGGAGAUGUGUUCGCUGUCAGCAGGAACCGACCCAUGCGC